rnacentral:rRNA from 1 species
UACGUAGGGUGCAAGCGUUAAUCGGAAUUACUGGGCGUAAAGCGUGCGCAGGCGGUUGUGCAAGACAGAUGUGAAAUCCCCGGGCUCAACCUGGGAAUUGCAUUUGUGACUGCACGGCUAGAGUGUGUCAGGGGGGGGUAGAAUUCCACGUGGUAGCAGUGAAAUGCGUAGAGAUGUGGAGGAAUACCGAUGGCGAAGGCAGCCCCCCUGGGAUAACACUGACGCUCAUGCACGAAAGCGUGGGGAGCAAACAGG